CGUAUCGGAUUCUGGGCGUAAGCGCACGCAGGCGGUCUGUCAAGUCGGAUGUGAAAUCCCCGGGCUCAACCUGGGAACUGCAUUCGAAACUGGCAGGCUAGAGUCUUGUAGAGGGGGGUAGAAUUCCAGGUGUAGCGGUGAAAUGCGUAGAGAUCUGGAGGAAUACCGGUGGCGAAGGCGGCCCCCUGGACAAAGACUGACGCUCAGGUGCGAAAGCGUGGGGAGCAAACAGGAUUAGAUACCCUGGUAGUCCACGCCGUAAACGAUGUCGACUUGGAGGUUGUGCCCUUGAGGCGUGGCUUCCGGAGCUAACGCGUUAAGUCGACCGCCUGGGGAGUACGGCCGCAAGGUUAAAACUCAAAUGAAUUGACGGGGGCCCGCACAAGCGGUGGAGCAUGUGGUUUAAUUCGAUGCAACGCGAAGAACCUUACCUACUCUUGACAUCCAGAGAACUUUCCAGAGAUGGAUUGGUGCCUUCGGGAACUCUGAGACAGGUGCUGCAUGGCUGUCGUCAGCUCGUGUUGUGAAAUGUUGGGUUAAGUCUCCGCACGAGCGCAACCCUUAUCCUUUUGUGCCAGCGGUUCGGCCGGGAACUCAAAGGAGACUGCCAGUGAUAAACU
rnacentral:rRNA from 1 species